CGCUGGCUCCCGCCCGUGCUGGGGCCACGGGGGCUGCGGGCCCCGGACGCCGAGUCCCGCGCUCUCCUCGCAGGUCCGCCCGCUGAAGACCCUUGGCCCCGGUCAGCUCUCCAGCGGCCCCGAGGAAAACGCCGACCGGCUGGGGCUGGCCGGCCUCCGCUCCGCGGCCAAACUGCUUCCAGGUCUGGCCUCUUAAAGCCGGGCUCCCUCUUCCGCUCCGGAAGCCCCGCGCCCCGCGCCCCACGCCUCUCCGCGCUGCUCCUUCCGGACUCUGACCCUCCCGGGAAGCUGAGCCGCUGGCACUCGCUGCUGGCCACUUCGGGACCUGCCUCAGGCUUCCUCCGUGUGCUGCUUGUGCUGCUCCCGAAGGAGCCUGAACUUAGGCCUAAACGCUCACCUCACCUAAGAACUUAAGGUGCAGAAUCUGCUCGCAUCGCGUCCUCAGCUUUGAAUGAGUGUGUAGCCUCCGGAGGCCUAAAAAUGUUGCCUAGCUUUAAUGCUUAAUAUAUAUUUAGAUCUAUGUUUAUUACAUCUUGAAUAGUGCUUAAAUUUACUUCAGUAAUUUAACUAUUCAUUGGACAUAUUUGUUUCAAACAAGAUGAUGAGUAUCACAUCUCUGUGAUCCAAUCACAUCCCCAAAGCCCAUGCAUGCAUGAGGCUUUGCGGGGGACAUCCACAUAGAAACACCGCAGCGUUCCACCCGGCCCCCAAAGACUCACGUGCUCUCCGUCCAAGAUGUACAUAGUCCGUCUCUAAGAGGUGUCAGAGCCCUAACGGUUUCAGCAUCGCUGAGAAGUCCGAGUCCAAGUCUUCUCUGAGAUUUAAAGCCAUCGCUUACCUUGGCGCCCUUGUGAGAAUGCAAAGUUAAACAUCACCAGCAUACAAAGGUACCAGGAAACUGUCUCAGAAUGACAAAACACAGAGCACUGUAUGGCUCCUCUUGUGGACCAUGGAUGCUCAAGUGACUUGGAACCAACCUGUGCUGACACUUCGGUGACGGACAAUGGACACUGAUGGGCUGUGCAGAAUUCUGCCAACAGCGGUGACCUUGGAGAGCAUCAGACCUAAUUAGAAGUCAUAUGUCUCAGGCCAUUAUAAUAGAAGCCAUUUAUACAAAACGUUAUCUCUAACAUGAAUCUGCACAGCCUCAAGCAGAAUCCAAGCAGCUGUUUCAAUAACACAGGCACUGGCGUCUUGUCUUCCCUAAUAUGAAGAUCCUGAGCUCAGAGGUGGCUUUUGUCAUCCGUGUCCCUGGCCCGGCCGUUCUGCUCUCGUCUGCAUGUGUGACCCGCGAGUAUUGUCCCCGCACCUGACAGGCUUCCCCCCUCCUCCCUCCGGCUGUCCAGGCCCCCGAAAUGCCAUGCCUAACUCUGGGCACGCUCUCCCGAGGUCGUGAGAGGUCGGUGUUGGUGGACUCCUGCUUACCGCGCCCUUUUGGAUAACCCGACAUUCAUAGCCUUAAACGAAUUUCAACGGGACUUCUAAGAAAAGUUACCAGUCACGUUGGAAGAGCUUUUCUCUGCAUGUAAUUGGUAUGUUUGCUGUAAACCACUCCCACCUCAUCACGAAUGCAGGGCCCCUAAAGUAGUGCCUGGAGCAAGGGGCCAUAUAUGAUAUGAGAGCGCUAUUCUGAAACAAUACUUUGGACCUGUGUUACAUCUGAAAACAACUCGUUUGUUAUAAAUGAAUUUGAUUAAAGCUCUCGUAGCAUUAUGAUACUCCUAUUAAAAUACAAGUAGAGGAGAGAGAUAACACUCCAAGCUCAGUAUCAAUGACUUACAUCUUUUCAGGGAUUGUUUCGGGAUUAUCUGAUGAAACAAGUCGCCUUCUACUGGCACUGGCGCCUAAGUAAACUCCGCUGCUCCACAAGCACCUUACUAGUCUGUGCUGGGCUCCCCGGACAGAGGAAGGCCUGCCUGCUACACAGGCUCCACCCCCUUCCGCCUCCCUUCCAGUCAAAGCCAGCCGGGUCUUUGUACACUGUUGAAUACAAAUAUCCCUGAGAGAGUCCACACAUUAAAGCCAAAAUGUCAUUUUCACCUUUGAAUAAAUGACCGGAUUCUUUAAGGUGCUAACCUAAUCUUCCACUCUUUGUUUCUCUGAAAAUAUCUUCAAUCAUUUCAUCAAGUCCGAAGACUUCAACCUCAGUGUGAACAGAAUCUUUCUUCCCUUUCUCUCUCUGUCUCUUCCUGCAGUGGUAUCAAACCCAGGACCUUCAGCAUGCAACACAAACACUGCCACUGCUACAUUCCCAGCCCUGAAAUACUUCUAAUUUCUAUGAUUUGCUCUCAUACACUAUCUCAGCUAGACUAGAACACCUGGCUGUCUAGUGGACAUCUCCUCUGUCCUGCGAAUACCUCAAACUCAGCCUACCCAGAGUCAACACACUGUACUCCUUCCAAGCCUGUUUCUCCCCGCUUGUUCAGGGUUCACCUAGCCACACUGUCUCUCAACCUGAGCAUCUUCCCCUCCUUCUUCCCCUCAGUCUGUGACUAAGCCCAAAGAUCCCAGCCCUGCACACCUACCCUGUGAUGCAGAACGUUCCUCUCCAGCUGCCCUGCUAGUAUUCCCAGCACUGCUCCCACGGGGCGCUACAUGGCCCAAAGCUUGGCUUUGACUUGUCCCUCUCCAGCUCAAAAACCCUAAAUGCACAUUUUGCUUAUUGAAUUCAAACCAACCUCUUGUUUUUCAUGUAUAUUACAUGACAUCAUCUUUCUUCUGCUUCCUCAUACCCUCUAGUAAAACUGAGAACUCUUCCCCAAAAUGCACUUUGCUUUCCACCCUGGUUGUUUCUGCCACUUGAAAUACUCUUUGCUCCUUCCCCGUUUCUGCCUAUUGCGAGAUACCUGUCUUCAAGGUCAACUUCAGAUUUCACAUCCUGGAGCCACUCUGGGUCCCCACUGGGAUGUGACUGCCCGCCAUAGCCUCCCCUGGUGGCCAGUGUGCCCUAAGAUUAAAGAGCACACUGCCUCUGAGCUCCCCUUGCUGCUCCCACGUGGACUCCCCCCCACGUCGAGGCAGUGUCGCUGGCUUCCGCUCGCCCGCAGAGCCUCGCUCAAUGCCCGCAGGUCCAAGGCUCGUGAUUAUUGGGGUGGUUCCGAGGGUGCCGGGCCGAGCCUGAAGAUGCCCUUUCGCCCAAUCCCUUUCUCCUCUGUGGAUCAGAGCCAAGCAGUCUGUUUGAUUAAGACGGUAGACCCUGCACGCUCAGCCCCGGGAGACAGCCACAGUGUGGAGCCUUGCUCCUUUUCUUCGCGUGCCUCAUCGCGAGACAAUUGCGUCCAGCCUAGGCCACAGGGGCCGCGUGGCACGAGUUACCCUGCCUUCCCCCACUACAAAUGAAGAGUGCAGACGCCAGGUGGCCAAGAGCGCUUCAGGCUGUGGUCCCACCUGGUCCCAGCUAUAAAGCAUAAUUUUGCCUUCUUUCUUAUUAUUUUCCAAUUUUCUUCAUCUCCCGUCGCUCUCCCCGGCUUCAGAGCCUACGCUAUGGGGUCGAGGCAUGAGUGAAUUUUGAAGAAUGAGACAGUGGUGAAGUUCCUAGCUGCUGCAAGCGUGCGUGGCUUUGGCAAGAAGUGACCCUGCAGGGUCCAGGGAAAGUACUGGACACGCUGUAAUCUUGUCUCAGUGUGUAGGACAGGGCUCUGGGCGGUGAGGAGCUCUGUGGGGAAGGGGAGAGGCACCAGCACCCCUUGAUGGCGCGAAGGCAGGCAGGGCAGCAGAAAGCCACUGGUGCAGGGGUUGGGGGACUGGAACACAGCCCACAGGCGAGUAUGUUAGAACAGCAAACGAGUUAGCGGUACACUGGACUGACCCUCCCCCCCACACACACCAGAGUGGAGUAGCUCUGGUUUAGCCUUGUUUGGGCUGCUGUAAAAGGGGAAACUGUCAAUCAGUUGUUGUCAAUUAAUUAACAUAUAUUUACUGAGUGUUUGGUGUGCUAGGCACUGCUGGAGAUGAUGGAUGCGGGGUAAAUAAAAAAUAAUGGGCCUUACUUUCUAGUAGGAGAAGAGACGUGAUAAGCAGGAUCUAUACAUAAAUGCAGAGCUCAUGGACCAGUCUCCUGGCUAAAAAUACAGCAGGAUCUAGAGGCAAAGUAUCAGAGCUGUAAGCAGAACAGUUAGGCCUUGUGUGGUGGAUUAACUACUGGGCCCCUUGGGACGCCCAGCUGAACUGAGUCAGCGUGGUUUGGGCGUGGAGGAUCCACCUGAGGCUUAUUGCCAACGGCACAUAAAGAGAACUGGAGGGAAGAGCGUGGGCUGUUGAGUUUCUAGGAGAAGCUUGUUGCGGAUGGUUUUCCCGAUUCAAACUCAGCUGUUCUCAUGGGAGGUGGAGCUGGGGCCUCGCUGUUGCUGGGAAUGGCUGCUGUUCUCCUCAGGAGAGCUCUGGUCUUCACCGUGAGCAUCACUUUCUGGCUGCAAUCCCUCAGCCUGGUGGCACAGAGCCUUCAGCCCUUGGCACAGGCUUUCCGGCUUCCACCACCGGCCUUUGGGCCUUCUGGGUGCAGAGCCUCAAUACGGACAAGCACGAGACAUCGCCUCGGACUCCAGGCCUUCAGCCGGACUUGUGUGGAACACUGCUGUGGGAUCCAGGUCCUCGGCUGGAUUCUUUAGGCCUCUAGUGUGUGACUAAUCUAUUGCACUCCUCUGUAUUGACUUUUUGGGUAAAUAUAGAAUAAUUCUAUAAGUUGUGACCCGUAUUAAAUGUAUUCUCUUGCCAAAACACUGACUGCAACACCUUGUUAAAGUGAUAUUUGAGCAAAGAUGUGGGAGAGAUGAGAAUUGAUCUGUACAGGCAUUGGGGCAAACAGCAUUCCAGACAGAGGAAGACCUAGUGCAAAUGUCCUGAGGUGAGCAAGGAUGGGUAUGUGGGAAGAACAGAGGAGGCUAGAGGGGCUGGAAUGGUGGGAGGCAGAGUGAGGUCACAGAAAGAGACUUCCAGCCUUGCAGCCCAUUGCGAAGUUUUAGGUUUUAAGUGAAACGGGGCCCUCGGGGAGUCUUGGCGCCAACACCAGUGGCGGUUGAGACAAGGCUGCACUGUUAGAGAGGGGCAAAGGCAGGAGCGGGAGACCCAGGCAAGAGACAGGGACAAGGGCUGGGAGCAGGGCGGUAGCAGCAACGCUGAGGGGACCAGAAUUUAGAGAAACGAGAGAGGUAAUGUCUCGAAGGAUCUCCGAUGUGUUAGAUCAAGGGGACGAAGAAAACAAGUCGAGGAUGAUUCCAAAGUCUUUGGACAACUAGAGAACUAGAGACAGUGCUUUGUUAGUGGAAGCUAUCGCGGUGGCACAGACUGUGGGAGCAGGGAGGACAGGGUUGAGCCCUGAUCUAUGAAGCAUGCGUGGUCUAGUAGACAUCCAGAGGGAGCGGGGACCAGGGGAGUCUGGGCGGGAUCUGUCAGGACACUGAGCACCGAGACAGCCAAGAAGUGAGACAAGAUCCGCAGGGAGCAGAUCUACAGGAGAGACGCUCAAGGGCUGAGGCCCCUAGAGGAAGCAGAGGAGACAGGAGGACCAGUCAGGAGGGCGGGUGGCCCCUAACUCAUGAUCGAAGGCGUCCAUCGAAAGGGGAAGGGAUGUGCAACUGGCUGGAAGGCGGCUGCAGGCCAAGGGGGAUGAGGAGCGAGAGCUGACCUUUAGAUCCCGCAGCGAGCUGAUCAGUGACACUGACAGGAGCAGCCUGAGCGAGGGCUAGGGUCAGGAAGUCUGGCUGCAGAAGGUUUGGGACCGAGAGAAGAGAGACUGGAGAAAUUGCUUAGAGACGCUUCCAUAUGCUCGAAAAUGGUUGUAGUUUUUAAAAAGCCAUAAAUUCAGGCUUUUUAUUAAUUACAUAGGUAUUGUGUCCACAGCAAUCUGAAUAAAUCAGAUUUUACUUGUGAAAUCCCCAUUUCAAGUGAGAAAAAGGUUUUGUGAAAUGGGUUUCAGCCAUUGUAAGUCUGGCACUGUUAACUGAAGAAAAACAAUGACUGCCUUCCAUGAAUCUGCAGCCCAAAGUAUUUUUAUAGUCCAGACUACUUCUGUCUUGGCACCUCACACACACAUAUAAGCACGCAUCCAACAACGACAUCACA